GAUAAACGCUGGCGGCGUGCCUAAUACAUGCAAGUCGAGCGAACGGACGAGAAGCUUGCUUCUCUGAUGUUAGCGGCGGACGGGUGAGUAACACGUGGAUAACCUACCUAUAAGACUGGGAUAACUUCGGGAAACCGGAGCUAAUACCGGAUAAUAUUUUGAACCGCAUGGUUCAAAAGUGAAAGACGGUCUUGCUGUCACUUAUAGAUGGAUCCGCGCUGCAUUAGCUAGUUGGUAAGGUAACGGCUUACCAAGGCAACGAUGCAUAGCCGACCUGAGAGGGUGAUCGGCCACACUGGAACUGAGACACGGUCCAGACUCCUACGGGAGGCAGCAGUAGGGAAUCUUCCGCAAUGGGCGAAAGCCUGACGGAGCAACGCCGCGUGAGUGAUGAAGGUCUUCGGAUCGUAAAACUCUGUUAUUAGGGAAGAACAUAUGUGUAAGUAACUGUGCACAUCUUGACGGUACCUAAUCAGAAAGCCACGGCUAACUACGUGCCAGCAGCCGCGGUAAUACGUAGGUGGCAAGCGUUAUCCGGAAUUAUUGGGCGUAAAGCGCGCGUAGGCGGUUUUUUAAGUCUGAUGUGAAAGCCCACGGCUCAACCGUGGAGGGUCAUUGGAAACUGGAAAACUUGAGUGCAGAAGAGGAAAGUGGAAUUCCAUGUGUAGCGGUGAAAUGCGCAGAGAUAUGGAGGAACACCAGUGGCGAAGGCGACUUUCUGGUCUGUAACUGACGCUGAUGUGCGAAAGCGUGGGGAUCAAACAGGAUUAGAUACCCUGGUAGUCCACGCCGUAAACGAUGAGUGCUAAGUGUUAGGGGGUUUCCGCCCCUUAGUGCUGCAGCUAACGCAUUAAGCACUCCGCCUGGGGAGUACGACCGCAAGGUUGAAACUCAAAGGAAUUGACGGGGACCCGCACAAGCGGUGGAGCAUGUGGUUUAAUUCGAAGCAACGCGAAGAACCUUACCAAAUCUUGACAUCCUUUGACAACUCUAGAGAUAGAGCCUUCCCCUUCGGGGGACAAAGUGACAGGUGGUGCAUGGUUGUCGUCAGCUCGUGUCGUGAGAUGUUGGGUUAAGUCCCGCAACGAGCGCAACCCUUAAGCUUAGUUGCCAUCAUUAAGUUGGGCACUCUAAGUUGACUGCCGGUGACAAACCGGAGGAAGGUGGGGAUGACGUCAAAUCAUCAUGCCCCCUAUGAUUUGGGCUACACACGUGCUACAAUGGACAAUACAAAGGGCAGCGAAACCGCGAGGUCAAGCAAAUCCCAUAAAGUUGUUCUCAGUUCGGAUUGUAGUCUGCAACUCGACUACAUGAAGCUGGAAUCGCUAGUAAUCGUAGAUCAGCAUGCUACGGUGAAUACGUUCCCGGGUCU
rnacentral:rRNA from 1 species